GACAGAGGUGCCAAGCGUUAGGCGGAAUCACUGGGCUUAAAGCGUGUGUAGGCGGCCCGUUAAGUGUCUUGUGAAAUCCCCCGGCUCAACCGGGGAACUGCUGGGCAUACUGGCGAUCUUGGCCAACUAGGGGCAACUGGAACAAGCGGUGGAGCGGUGAAAUGCGUAGAUAUCGAGAGGAACACCAGUGGCGAAGGCGAGUCUCUGGACAUUUCCUGACGCUGAGGCACGAAGGCCAGGGGAGCAAACGGG
rnacentral:rRNA from 1 species